GUAGGUGAACCUGCGGAAGGAUCAUUAUUGAAUAAACUUGGUUGGGUUGUUGCUGGCUCUCAGGAGCAUGUGCACGCUCGGUCAAAUUUUAACCACCUGUGCACACACUGUAGGCCUGAAUGAAAUUUGUCGAGGAAAAAACUCGGUUUGAGAACUGCUGAGCUGUUCUUGCAUUUCAGGUCUAUGUUUCAAACAUAUACUCCAUAUACAAGUAAUAGAACGUUAAUUAUUGGCCUUCUUGUGCCUUUAAACCUAAUACAACUUUCAACAACGGAUCUCUUGGCUCUC
rnacentral:misc_RNA from 1 species